rnacentral:misc_RNA from 1 species
AACCUAGCACACCUGCGGUGUGUACCUGCGGAAGGAUCAUUACCGAGUUAGGGUAGUCACUCACUGCCCGACCUCCCAACCCUGUGUCUACCACACUUUGUCGUUGCUUCGGCGGACCGGUUGACCAACUGGUCAUGACCGCCGGGGGCUGGCUCUGUCCCCCCUGGAGAGCGUCCGCCGAUGGCCCAACCACAAAACUCUUGUACCGAAACGUGUCGUCUGAAUUAUGUUUGAGAAAUC